GAUGAACGCUGGCGGCAGGCCUAACACAUGCAAGUCGAGCGGGGUUUUCGGACCUAGCGGCGGACGGGUGAGUAAUGCGUAGGAAGCUACCCGAUAGAGGGGGAUACCAGUUGGAAACGACUGUUAAUACCGCAUAAUGUCUACGGACCAAAGUGUGGGACCUUCGGGCCACAUGCUAUCGGAUGCGCCUACGUGGGAUUAGCUAGUUGGUGAGGUAAUGGCUCACCAAGGCGACGAUCCCUAGCUGGUUUGAGAGGAUGAUCAGCCACACUGGAACUGGGACACGGUCCAGACUCCUACGGGAGGCAGCAGUGGGGAAUAUUGGACAAUGGGCGCAAGCCUGAUCCAGCCAUGCCGCGUGUGUGAAGAAGGCCUUCGGGUUGUAAAGCACUUUCAGUAGGGAGGAAGCGUUGUGUGUUAAUAGUACACAGCGUUGACGUUACCUACAGAAGAAGCACCGGCUAACUCUGUGCCAGCCGCCGCAGUAAAAC
rnacentral:rRNA from 1 species